GUUAUUUUUGUUAUUGUUUAUUUUAGUUUAAGAUUGACUUAUACACUUAGUAUUUAUAAAAGACAUUAUAACUAUUAUAAAAAGUUAUCUGAGAUUUGAUGUCCUUGUUCAAUCUACAACAUUCAUUAGAAAAGGCCUUGAUCCGAGGUUCUUUUUCCUGAUCAACUCAACUUUCAUUAGAAAAGGCAUUGAUCCGAGGUUCCUUUUCCUUAUUCAGCUCACAAAAUUUCAACUCACAAACACUCCUUAGAAAAGGCCUUGAUCAAGGUUCUUUUUCCUGAUUCAAUUCAAAACAUUCAUUAGAAAAGACCUUGAUUCGAGAUUCAUUUUCCUGAUUCAACUC
rnacentral:lncRNA from 1 species